UUGUUGAGAGUCAUUUCAAGUGUCCUUCAUUAAUGACCCAAAUUUUAUCGUUGUACCCUAGAUUUCUAUCUACCUGUAGUGCUAAACACUUCACAUCUUUAUUACAACAGCUUAAAAUAAAAUAAUACAUUAUCAUCCGUAAACUACAAGUACCAUCGUCAUAAGGGUCAAUAACAAGAACAAAUCUAGUCAUGAUAAUUUUCACUAUACCAACAUAAUACUAAAUUAUGUGCUUUUAGUGUUUAUUGAGGUGUGAAUGUAAAAUGGUGCUACUUCCCAUCCAUGCACGUUGGUCGCAAUGUGUACCUAUAAACCAUAACAAACUAGAUAAAUUAUCAGAGUGAGCAUAAAAUACUUAGCAAGCACAAUAUAUAACUAGAAAAACAUGGAUGUGACAAUGAGAGAAUAAGUAACGAAUAGCAAAAUGCAUCCUUCUUUUCAUUGAAACAAAUAUAUUUUUUUAUUUUAGUCAAAACAAAUGGAACAUUUUUUCAUUGAAAAAAAACACAGGAAGUCAACAAAUAAUUGUUUUUAUCCUGAACAUUCAUGAAUUGAAAUAGUAGUUUUCAUCUCAGACAAGCGUGAAUACAUCCUUAGUAUUUAUUAGUAAAAUGAAAUAAGCAAAUCAAGUGCUUACUCAUAGGAAGAUAAAUAAGAAACUAGAUGGAACAUGAAAUUUUUAACUAGAAUAAAACAUGAAUUGUUUAAUGUAAGUAAGAAUAAAAAAAUAUGAGCAUGAUACAAUCUUGAAAUAUGAGUAGUACAAGAUCUUUCGUUCCGUAUUCUUUAAAUUUGAUGGCUAAAAUUAUCUUCGUAUGAUCGGAUGGCUAGGACAGUUGCUUUCUAUACAUUAGAGAUAUUCUAAAUUAGAAAUUAUCUUACAAAUUGUAGAGUUUCCAUAUGUGAGAAAUUAUCUUUCUAAUUUAAAACAUGACACACUUUCUAUAUAUUAAAGUCUUUAUAUUAAGAUAAAGAUAUAAACUUUUCAAUUAUAAAUUUUCUAUAAAUAUGUAGCGUAUAUCUUUAGAAUGAAAGCCGACACAAAAUGCAAUUAGAACGUUGAUAAUUAUGCCAAGACAAUAAAGAUCGUGAUCAUAAUCACACUGUAUUUGCACUCAUCAUCAGAUCGACAAAGCCUCUAGACAAGUAUUAUCAGACGCUCAAACGAUCAAAGUACUAACAAUAAAGAUAAAAUAUAGUAAAUAGGAAUAAGUACUUGGGGUUCUAGGAAUAUUGCAUUGACACCAUCUUUUAUAUGAAAUAAGUAAAGCAGUUAAAAUAUCAAAUGAUGCAUCACUACAAAAUAUGUUUUUAAUAUUGAAUGACAUGUCCAUUCGUCUCCUAAUAAUUAUUAACAGAAACCACAACCACAGAAUGUAGUCCCAGGGAGAGCCUAGAGGGGGGUGAAUAUGUGUCUUAAAAAAUUCUUUGAAAUCGCAACGGUUAGUAGGGGCCGGACCGUCUGGACCUACCGCAGGACCGUCCGGUCGGCACUCUCGGGUUGGAUCGAGAGCUCUAGCCGGACCGUCCUGGUUAGAACACCGGACCAUCCUGUCAGUGAAAAAUGCAGGCUUGACAGUCUCCUUUUUCAGAGAUGUUCCUGGGAACGUAAUGUGAUCGUGUGCGGAAAAUAAAAGCAGAAAGAUUGCAGGAGACACGAGAGAUUUAUCCCGAAGUUCGGAUCUUUUGAUCCUACUCUCCGUUGAGGCGCUCCUGCGAGCGGGAUCUCUGUCGAUCCUAUCCCUCUCUUGGCUUCCUCCCAUAAGGCCAACAUGGGUCUUCAGAUUCACACCUAAGGACUAGCAACCCCUUCGAUCGACCACCAAGGUCAAGAUCAAGGCGGCUUGCCCAGCCCUAGGUUGCAAUCCACUCUACCCUGCAGCCCUGUAUGAGAAAGCACAAGAAUUCACUAACAAUCUUACCUAUUUCCUUACGGAGGUUAGGCAAUGACCUUCACAAACUUUCUCCCGGGCGAUCCACAAUAAUAGGAAGCUCACGGGCGACGCCUAUCCGUCUAGGAGAUGAAUCUCCAAGAGUAAUAGGCCACCUUGACUCCGCAUGCAUCCAUCUUCACCCAAGAACAAUCACUCAAUCACUCACUAGCCUAAACACUCUUCCUAAGAUAUGAUCCACCAAUUAAUCUCUCUAGGAAGUGUUUUGGAUUAGUGGGGAGGCUUGAGAGGAACUAAACUUGCCCUAGAAAUCAGUGAAUUCGAACAGAAAGCCUCACCAACGAUUAGAUCUCAAGGGGCCUUAUAUAGGCUGGCAGACGUCACUUAGCCGUUGGAAAAGAAACCUAACCGGACCGUCUGGCUAGGGGGCCGGACCGUCCAGCCGAUACUUAGCUCACUCACUCAGAGGAGCAGCGGUCGGACCAAGGUCCGGACCGUUCUG
rnacentral:lncRNA from 1 species